rnacentral:rRNA from 1 species
AGUGAACGCUGGCGGUAGGCCUAACACAUGCAAGUCGAACGGCAGCACAGUAAUAGCUUGCUCUUACGGGUGGCGAGUGGCGGACGGGUGCGGAAUACGUCGGAAUCUACUUUUUCGUGGGGGAUAACGUAGGGAAACCUACGCUAAUACCGCAUACGACCUACGGGUGAAAGCAGGGGACCUUCGGACCUUGCGCGAUUGAAUGAGCCGAUGUCGGAUUAGCUAGUUGGCGGGGUAAAGGCCCACCAAGGCGACGAUCCGUAGCUGGUCUGAGAGGAUGAUCAGCCACACUGGAACUGAGACACGGUCCAGACUCCUACGGGAGGCAGCAGUGGGGAAUAUUGGACAAUGGGCGCAAGCCUGAUCCAGCCAUACCGCGUGGGUGAAGAAGGCCUUCGGGUUGUAAAGCCCUUUUGUUGGGAAAGAAAAGCAGCAGGUUAAUACCCCGCUGUUCUGACGGUACCCACAGAAUAAGCACCGGCUAACUUCGUG